UCUUAAGCGUGAAGAAGAUGUCAGUACAGCUAGGGGAUAUAUUUUGAAGCUCAAAAAGAGUCAAAUAUGUCCUCUUUAAGGAAGCAUAUUUAAAUGAGAUACAGGAAGGAGUUGUGGGGAGAUUUGAAGACAUCCCUCAGUGGUCAGCUCUCACAGGGAACUGCACAGAAAAUAAAUGCCAUUGUUUCGUCACCAACAGUGAGACAUUUUAGGCCGCAUGCACUCCACCACAAAGGUUUUUAACAUUAAAUUGAAAACAUAACGAGACCUUACUGAAAGCUUAGACUGUAGUUUAAAUUCCUGUCUUCCAGGUAAAAACAGAGAUGUUCAUAAUAGUCAUUUUAGGUUACAUAAGACAACCUCAGAAAAUGACACUUCUCUUUUCAGCUGAGCUCAGACCUCUGAGGCAAGUUCACACAGAACUAAAGUUAUGACACACUGAUGCUUUUGUAUUUUUUAUAUGUUAUAUCAUUUGACUAUUGCUCAACAUUGUGGGAUAAUGUAAAAACAGACAUCUUCCAAAAGUGGUUUCUAUGGUAAUAUGAAAAACACCUGUUGACACAUGCACCUAACGUGUGAGAGGGGUUUCAACAUGUUUCCAUGUGUGUUUUGGGGAACAAACACCAGCAAGAGGCCUGCAAGACACAGAGGACAAACUCUUUUGUUUUAAAAUUACUUUUAAAGUUUAUUCAAAGAAAAAAACCUUCAGGAAAAUACAUGACUUCCUGUCAUACACAGAGAGGACAUAAGUUAGAGUAGCAUUGCAGAAACAGCAGAGGAAAAACACGUUGCCUCACAUCCAAGCCUGCAGCGAACGUUACUGCAGUGUUUCCACGUAGAAGCAGUGCUAUGUGAAUACCUGAAAUGAACAACACGUGUGUUCUCUUAUUGUUUUGUAAGUAGGUUAUUAAGUGGGAAGGGGGGGAUGGCAAAAGAAAUGAAAACAUCCAGCAAUAACCGGGCUCAAAAACAAAGAAUUAAAGACGCAAUAAAACAUAAAUAUCGUGAUGCACAUUAGUGUGACGAAACAUUGCCUCUGUAAACAUUUUCUCCACCUAUGGUGAGCGUAGUAAUAUUGAACCACCGCAGUCGCAUAUUUACGUGUACAUAGACUUACAGAAACAACAGAAACUAUUGUUAAGCUUUCCGACUAGCUCUAAAACUUAAGAAUACACAAUGCUUCAAGUGAUUUUUUUUUAAAGGAUUUCCAAGUAGUGGUUUUCAUAACAAUAGGUUAACAUGUUUUAGAUGCUGCCCCCAUGGCACGGUUCCAAUGCAACUACAGACGUUUAUUUUUUUUACCCAUUAAGAAUAUCAAUAAAAACCACUAUUUUUUUAAGAAGUCAUUACAGCCAUUCAUCAAGGCCUUGAUGCAUAAGAGACACACACUGGGUAGUACUGCACACACACACCUCAGACGACACAGCAUUGGAGGAUCCAAACUGCUGUUCUGUAGGAGGGCAGGUAACAUGUUGACCCACCUUGUCAAACACGCGUGUGUAAAUGUCAGCAUCUGGGGGAAAACACACCCAUGUUUGUGACCCGACGUGUUCUGACCUGAACUCUUUGCACAUGUUUUCAUUUCAGAUGCAACCGAGGAAAGUCCAGCCCGAAGGAGAUCGAUGCUGCAGGUUGCCGCCCCAGUCUUUCACAUAUACACACACACACACAACUUAAAUACCAGCUGGAGCAGGAAGUCGGGGGGGAAGGGGGAGUGGGAACGAUUCCUUUCCCGCGUAAAAGUGGUCUCCUCAAACAGCCGACCGAGUGAGGAAAAGACCUGCUCCGUGUUGCUGGUUUCACAUCAUCACAGUCACACUGAUAUCCAGAGUUGCAGGAUGUCAGAGAAAAAACUGAAAACCCUUCCUCAGCUCCGCAAGGCAUUUGGAAAAAGGUGGCAAAUCCAGAAGGCUUCCCCCCCCCCCCCCCCGAACUGGAAACGGAAAAUAUCUACACCUGACGUAGAGGCUCCGCUGCUGCAGCUUCUCAAUCGUCUUUACUUGAAAUUGAACAUCUAGGAUUGAUCACAAGCAAAACAAAAAAUACACCAUCUCAUGCCUCGGACCACCACACAGUAACACGUCUUUCUACAUUCUUGACACUUAGUGCAUUGCAUUCAUACAAAUAAUACAAAUGAUCUGAAAUGAUAGAAAAAAUCCAGAAAAAACCCUCCUCUGCUGACCAUGCGUUUAUCUCUCUGCCACCUGGAAAACAAUUACACCGACUCUCUGACCACAAACACACACACCUCUCUCCUCUCCUUCAUCCUCCAUUAUUUUGUUAAAUUGAUAUCUGAAUAUUCACAGCAGUUUGAGUUCUCGACGUGCACGAGGUGGUCAUGUUUAAUCCCGGACAAACAUGACACUAUCUGGAAGAUUCAAUGAACGUUUUAUUAUACAUAGACACCUUUUUUUGGACCACAUCACUUUCUUAUUAGACACACACACCUCUGUGGGUUCAGAGUAAAAGCAAAGCUAACCGUGGGGUGGAUGUGCGUUAAUCUUUAAAAAAACAAAACAAGGUAAAAGACAUGUUUUACUCCACAUAGGUACACUUAUCUCCAAGGAAUAACAAUAGUAAUAAUUCAAAAAAUACUAUUCUGAAAUCCAUCUGCGUUUUCUCUCUCUCUCUCUCUUUAUAUCACCCCUUCUUUUUUUAAAGCACCUGUCCAAACAACACAAUACUUGAACGACACACACACACACACCCCCACCUGUCGAGUCCCAUCCGUCAGACUUACAGUACAACCUCAAAUAUUUACUCUCGAGUUUCUCCGGGGUCUUUCACAAUUUCCCCCCCAGGCUUGACCGUCUCCACCUCCAACCAGCAUGUCAGCAGUAAUUGGCCCAAACAGAAGUACAUUUACACACACUACUGUAGCAUUAAUACGACACACUCCCACCCCCACCGGCCUCUUAAAGGGGGGCAUUUCUUAAGGACCUGCAGAAGGUAGAAGCAGUAGUAGUAAUAAAAGUGGUAGCAGCAGGUAGAAGACCUGCAGCUGACUGACCGCCCGGGAGAAAAGGAUGUAGAGUAAAAAAAAAAAGAAUCCCAUCGCACCAUAAAACGGAGAGGGAAACUAAAGGGGGGAGCGACGGCGGCGCAACUUGACGGGGAGUGACGCGGCGUCGCAGGCGGCCCCGGAGCCGGCAGCAGCUCCGGGGGAAAGACUCACCCACUGAGGUUGGCAUCUCCCCCCACUGCAGCACCACGUCUUUGGUGAUGCGUCCGUACGUGUUGACGUAGACGCCCUCGUCCUCGUAGCACACCAGCAGCUCGAUGCCGUCCGUGUUGGGCAGGAUGAUGAUGGCGUGGGACUGGAUGUGGGUCUGGAUCUGCAGCGACACAGAAAACGUGGAGGUAGAUGUCGUACACGGCCCCGGAGUCGACGUCCACGGCGUGGAAGCCUGAAGCUGAGCCGUAGAUGACCUUUAACCUCUGACCUUCCUCCACGGUGAGGUCCACCAGCAGGGGCUUGUGCACCAGGUCACCGAAAGACUGAAAAUCACAGUGUCAUCAGUACUGAUAGCACGCUGUACAACACAGUGAUCCUUUUACAACAAACACAAUUAGCUCUUUUUAGUUCCUUACUAACAUUGAAAUCCUGCUAGUAAUCACACAUUUUUUGGAUAUGUGUAUCCUGAUUAUGUAAUCCCUGUUUUAUCCAUUACUCCCCAAUCCUGUACCUCACACACACUAGAGAUCUAACUCCCCGAACCGUCACUAGUGAUAUAGUACUGCUCGUGUGUUUGUUGUCAGCUCAGCGAGGCGUCGACUCACCUUGAAGGCCAUGAACUUGUGGUAGGGUUUGGGCGCCCAGGCGUAGACCUCCACUGAGUUCUUCAGAGCAAGAACCAAGAACUUGAUCCUCUCAUAUUUCACUGGGGAGCAGAAGCCACAAACAACCAUUAGAACAAUAAAAAGGAAAAUAAAAAGGCAUGAGAGUCAGAAACAAGCAUCAGCUGCACACAGUAUACUGUAUAUACACGAUACCAAUAAAGUCCCUUUCCUUCUGUAGCUGAUUUUCACUUUUAAGAAGCUGUAAUCCAUUGAAACUGAUUUCAUUUUGAUCUCAUGACCACAUGCAUGAUUAGGGAGUCCCUGCAGGUCAUUAGGAAAGGCACCUUGCAAUAUAAUCUGGGAUAUGAAUGUAUAAUUUGCAGUACACUUUAAAUAUAAAGGGAUUUAAAGG